CUCAACGAGAGCAGUUGCAACCAGUGCCAGAACGAGGAAGAGGAUGAACGAAUGGGAAAGGGAAGCCAUUAAAUUUGGUGAUGAAGAGGCACGGUCGCCCAGGUGCCUGCCUUAGUGACUAUUUAUAGUGAAACGAAGCUGCAGGCUCAAGGGUUUGAGCUCAAACACGGGAACUCUGGAAUCAAGAGCUUUCGUACAAUUUAGAAAAUUUACAUGAAGAACUUGAGUAAAAAUAAUGAUAAUUGUUGAAUGUCGGUACUUUCAAUUAUUGCUUUA